GGACGAACGCUGGCGGCGUGCUUAACACAUGCAAGUCGAACGGAAAGGCCCUGCUUUUGUGGGGUGCUUGAGUGGCGAACGGGUGAGUAACACGUGAGUAACCUGCCCUUGACUUUGGGAUAACUUCAGGAAACUGGGGCUAAUACCGGAUAGGAGCUCCUGCUGCAUGGUGGGGGUUGGAAAGUUUCGGCGGUUGGGGAUGGACUCGCGGCUUAUCAGCUUGUUGGUGGGGUAGUGGCUUACCAAGGCUUUGACGGGUAGCCGGCCUGAGAGGGUGACCGGCCACAUUGGGACUGAGAUACGGCCCAGACUCCUACGGGAGGCAGCAGUGGGGAAUAUUGCACAAUGGGCGGAAGCCUGAUGCAGCAACGCCGCGUGCGGGAUGACGGCCUUCGGGUUGUAAACCGCUUUCGCCUGUGACGAAGCGUGAGUGACGGUAAUGGGUAAAGAAGCACCGGCUAACUACGUG
rnacentral:rRNA from 1 species